UGCCCUGAGGCUUAAAUCCGCACACGUGUCGACACAGUUUCCUGGGUGCCCGCAAGGGUUGGAGACUGGGGCGCGUGGAGGCCUAAC
rfam:Pseudomonas taeanensis MS-3 contig_02, whole genome shotgun sequence.